GUCAUCCUUUCGAAAUUACGGUCAUCAUUUCACCAAUCACGGUCAUCCUUAUUAUAUGUUACGGUCAUCUUGAAAAUAUUUUAAAGAUGAUUUACGGUCAUCUUAGCGAAUUUUUCAAAUCCAAUUUCCCGUUCUAUACACGUUCCUCGGUAGAGAUUUGUGACUUCCGUGUGAAUCUUUUAUAAAUUAACAUCGUACCAAUGUAUGCUUUGUGAAGAAAAUGAUGUAGAAACACCUUAACAGACAAUACAAAUACAGUUCAAGUGAUGCACGUAACAUUAAAAGAUCAAAGAGGCCUUCUGUUCAUCUGAUUGCAGGCGUACAACCAAUAACAGGUGGUCGUAAGUGUUUGUCAUUUAAAGACAUGUCAAUAAAGCAUAAACGUGGAAUUUCAAUCUUGUAGCUAUGUUUCUACGUCGGAACUAAAGACAUUUAUUCUAAAAACAGUUGUUGGCAUGACACGGGUUAUGUUCUUCUCAUAUAUGUUAUGAUGGUAUGUUACUAAACCCCUAACGGAAAGGAUUGUGCCUGAUGUUCAUAUGAUGAAAUCAUAAUCUUUCAGUCAGUUUAAUUGAAGUCUGGAGCUGGCAUGUCAGUUAACUGUUAGUAGUCUGUUGUUAUUUAUGUAUUAUUGUCAUUUUGUUUAUUUUCUUUGGUUACAUCUUCUGACAUCAGACUCGGACUUCUCUUGAACUGAAUUUUAAUGUGCGUAUUGUUAUGCAUGCGUUUAUUUUUCUACAUUGGUUAGAGGUAUAGGGGUAGGGUUGAGAUCUCACAAACAUGUUUAACCCCGCCGCAUUUUUGCGCCUGUCCCAAGUCAGGAGCCUCUGGCCUUUGUUAGUCUUGUAUUAUUUUUAUAUUAGUUUCUUGUGUACAAUUUGGAAAUUAGUAUGGCGUUCAUUAUCACUGAACUAGUAUAUAUUAGUUUAGGGGCCAGCUGAAGGACGCCUCCGGGUGCGGGAAUUUCUCGCUACAUUGAAGACCUGUUGGUGACCUUCUGCUGUUGUUUUUUAUUUGGUCGGGUUGUUGUCUCUUUGACACAUUCCCCAUUUCCAUUCUCAAUUUUAUUCUAUUUAAUAACUUUAAAUUAUAAAUUAAAAUUAUAAAUAAAAAAAAAUCGAAUCGCGUUUCUGUCAUACUCAUCAAGGGGAACUAUCAUAGGGGUUAUUAUAUGUAUGAAUACACCAGAUGAUGUACAUUCAAAAGACAUCCAACAUUUGUUGAAAACCUGCUUAGGGUUGAUUUUGCCUAUUUAAUCUUAUACAUUUUUGUCAACAAAAAGCGUUUCAUUAAAACAUGCAUUUUUUGUUUACAAAACUGGAUUAUAUCAAACUGACAAUACUCACCCCGUUAUAUUAGUAAAACAAAAUAAAUCAAAAAGAUUAACAAAACAUUGAUGUGUAGGUAUCUAUACUACAAAUAUAUCGAGGAACAAUGAGCCGGUAUGACGUAAAACGACGAAUAAAAGAAUGCAACUUUACAUAUAAUUAUUAAACGGCCUUGGUGACCGAGUGGUCUAAUUGAUUACUACUGCCAUCACUAGCCAGUCAAGUCAACACUGAGGUUUUGAGUAAACCCCGCUUUUGCGGGUGCACUCGACUCCAACGUAAAUUGACUAGGAUGGUCAGUUUUCAUAUCGAAGGUCGGUGGUUUUCUCCUGGCACUCCGGCUUCCUCCUCCACUAAUAAAAACUUGUUACCAAACACAGAAAAUUAUAGAUCAUAUACAUUGCAACUAAUAAAGGACAAUUGUUUUGUAAAACAAUUUAAUCAUUCCAGGCUCUUAUGUUUUCCCAAUGAAUAAUAUCACCAAUAAGUAAUGAGUUCCAGGUGAAAUGCUAUACCGAUAUCAAUAUUAUAUAUCAUAUGUAAUUUCCGGUUGUUGUUACCUAUUACUCUAAAUCCCUCCUCGAUUAGGUGAAUUUAAUUUUUUUUCAGAAGAUGUUUUAUAUCUAUGUUACACUAUAGUACAAUAAUUACAUUAGAUGUAUGUGUCAUUAUGAUACUUAAAUCUGAUAGGCUAACUGCACAUUACGUGUUAUUCCUUAAGCAUUUGCAUCAUUCAAUAAAACGUUUCAUUCAUGAUAACACGUGGUCCCACAAUAAAGUGCACAGGUGAGUUAAAUAAAAAAAAUUAUAAAAUUCGUGUUUUCAUGAUCAUAUCUAAUUAAUGUAAUUAUAAGUAUUGAAUGCUUCUUGUUGUAACUUCAUAGGGUUGUAAAAGCGCUUCAUACAAAAUGUACUUCGGUCAACGCUUUUACACCCCAAUGAAGUUACAAAAAGAAGCAUUCAAUUCUUAAAUAAUUAGCAAGCCGCUUAAUUAGUUAAAAACAAAUUAUUUGAUAGCGAGUUUUUGUUGUCAGAAAAUUAAACCAGUACGAAUUCAAAAAAGUAAAAUCACAAAAAUACAGAAUUUUGAGUAAAAUUCAAGACGUGAAGUCUUUCAGGAAAUAGACUUUGAAGAGUUGUAAGCAGGGAAGCUGUGCACCUCGCAAUUAACAUGACCGUAUCAGAUGACAAUACGAAAACUAAAAAUGCAGGCUAAAAAUAAUACAUAUGUGCUUAAAUUAAGACAAAUAUCUCGAUACCACGGAUCCGCGAUGUCGCCAGUGUGUUCUAGUUAUGCAUACAACAGAAUUCAAUUUUUUUCAAUUUAAGAGUCUCAUGUUUAGAACAUGACUGUAUGAAUUGUAAUUGAGUUUGUAAAUGUCAUUCUCUUCAGAUGAAGUAUGUCACACCACAACUUAUUUGACAUUACAUGGACUUUGGCCAUUAAUAAAUUUAAUGUUUUAUUUAUUUACAGAUAAAUCUCCAUUUACAGUUGGUAACUGGGUUUCGCAGGGACCUACAUCUCACACAAAUGACAUUCUUGUCGACGACAGCCGAAUUUUCAUCAACACAUCGGGUCUUUAUUUUGUAUACAGCCAGAUAUUUUUCAGUGAUCUUUAUAAAGGUCAAGCACUAUCAAACAAAUCACACACUUUCUACCAUUAUGUUUAUCGGUUCAACCAUAUUUAUCCAAACGAUGGCCAAGAGCUGCUCCUAAAAAGUGUUCGCACAGAAUGUUGGGCAAAAAGUAAAUUCUUUGGUGAUUACACAAGUUACACUGCUGGAGUUUUUAGGCUCAAUGUGGGUGAUCAAAUUUUCGUAAAGGUAUCUCAAAUCAGAUUGAUGUC
rnacentral:lncRNA from 1 species